rnacentral:misc_RNA from 1 species
GAUGAAGAACGUAGCGAAAUGCGAUAAGUAAUGUGAAUUGCAGAAUUCAGUGAAUCAUCGAAUCUUUGAACGCACAUUGCGCCCGCCAGUAUUCUGGCGGGCAUGCCUGUUCGAGCGUCAUUUCAACCAUCAAGCCCCCGGCUUGUGUUGGGGACCUGCGGCUGCCGCAGGCCCUGAAAAGCAGUGGCGGGCUCGCUGUCACACCGAGCGUAGUAGCAUACAUCUCGCUCUGGGCGUGCUGCGGGUUCCGGCCGUUAAACCACCUUCAUAACCCAAGGUUGACCUCGGAUCAGGUAGGAAGACCCGCUGAACUUAAGCAUAUCAAUAAGCGGACGA